AUGGACACAAAGAAACGUUAUCUUCAGUAAAAAGUCCACGCCACAUAUAGCUAAGAAGUACAUAUCUUACAGGUGACUUCUUCAGCCUUCAUACUGAUGAAAACAUCUUGUGUUAGCCCUCAAGGACGGAUGGUGACCUCUUCCGCUUUCAGGUUGAUGAAAACUAUUAGCAUACCACGCCAUAAAGGACAUUCAUUGUGGAGGAGGGUCGGCACAGAAUGGACUUAAAGACCUGUCAAGUAGACCUUCAAAUAGAUUCGUCCCUUUUGAUUCUUGAUCUUGUGGCCAGAUGUUAUCACCAGUCUUAUCACAGAAUUGCACAGCACUGGAGGACGGGACCCUGAGGACGCUGGGGCCAACCUCUUGCUAAAAAUAUGUGGGAGGGCGAGAAGAACGGUUUGUGUUUUAGCACUGAACACAUUUUUUCAAGCGGGGGUGUGUGUGUUUGCAUCUGCGACACUGCUUGUGUCUUGUCCAUUACAUGACUUUGUUUCUUUUGGGGAGAGUAUUGCAUUUCAUCUCUUGUCAUUAAAUCUUAUCUCUCUGCAAAAAGAUAUUGAUUAAUGUAAUGACUUGCAUGCAGCUUUGGGGACAAAGACCAUUUUUUAAAAAAAUAAUUAAUUAUCUGUUUUAUCUUGCGGCCUUUAUUCCAGAUAAUUUUUUUCAGCUACUGAACCUCAAGCUGAAUUUAGCACCAGUAUUUCUUGAGUCUUCAUGACCUUUGUUGUGCCAGAUUGCAGGACUUGAAACAGAAAAUCAGUAUUGAUUCAUGAUUCUUGUUCUCCCGAGAUAAGACUAUGGAGACAU